CCUACGGGCGGCAGCAGUAGGGAAUAUUGCACAAUGGGGGAAACCCUGAUGCAGCAACGCCGCGUGGGGGAUGAAGGAUUUCGGAUUGUAAACCCCUUUUGGUAGAGAAGAAAAUGACGGUAUCUAAUGAAUAAGCAGCGGCUAACACCGUGCCAGCAGCCGCGGUAAUACGGAGGGUGCAAGCGUUAUUCGGAGUCACUGGGCGUAAAGAGCGCGUAGGCGGGAUAGCAAGUCAGCUGUGAAAGCCUAUGGCCUAACCAUAGAACUGCAUUUGAAACUGUUAUUCUGGAGUAUAGGAGAGGUAGGUGGAAUUCUUGGUGUAGGGGUAAAAUCCGUAGAGAUCAAGAGGAAUACUCAUUGCGAAGGCGGCCUGCUAGAACGUAACUGACGUUGAGGCGCGAAAGCGUGGGGAGCAAACAGGAUUAGAUACCCGGGUAGUC
rnacentral:rRNA from 1 species